UCAUCUUCGGGGGUAGAGCACUGUUUCGGCUAGGGGGUCAUCCCGACUUACCAACCCGAUGCAAACUGCGAAUACCGAAGAAUGUUAUCACGGGAGACACACGGCGGGUGCUAACGUCCGUCGUGAAGAGGGAAACAACCCAGACCGCCAGCUAAGGUCCCAAAGUCACAGUUAAGUGGGAAACGAUGUGGGAAGGCACAGACAGCCAGGAUGUUGGCUUAGAAGCAGCCAUCAUUUAAAGAAAGCGUAAUAGCUCACUGGUCGAGUCGGCCUGCGCGGAAGAUGUAACGGGGCUAAACUGUGCACCGAAGCUGCGGCAGCGACACUAUGUGUUGUUGGGUAGGGGAGCGUUCUGUAAGCCGUUGAAGGUGUGUCGUGAGGCAUGCUGGAGGUAUCAGAAGUGCGAAUGCUGACAUAAGUAACGAUAAUGCGGGUGAAAAACCCGCACGCCGGAAGACCAAGGGUUCCUGUCCAACGUUAAUCGGGGCAGGGUGAGUCGACCCCUAAGGCGAGGCCGAAAGGCGUAGUCGAUGGGAAACAGGUUAAUAUUCCUGUACUUGGUGUUACUGCGAAGGGGGGACGGAGAAGGCUAUGUUAGCCGGGCGACGGUUGUCCCGGUUUAAGCAUGUAGGCGG
rnacentral:rRNA from 1 species